GGUGCGUAGCCUUGGCAUGUCGUAUCAGCACCUCUGCUCCCAUCUCAAGGAUCGACUGCGAAAAGUCAGGCUUCCGUGCCACCAGGUUCCGCAGCAGCAUGCAAGCCUGCUUCUGCAAAGAGGACAGAAAUGACAUUAAACAAUCUUAAAUCUCCUCACCUGCACGUUUACUUCAGCUGGGUGGGACUUCAUCGCCUGCAGUGUCAAAAAUGCACCCCCAGCCUCCAUGAUCACCCGGCAAUUCUCCGGCUUCCGCAGAGCAAGCAUGCUCAAGGCUGCACAGCCCUGCUCACAGACCUGUAUAAAAAGAAGAAAGACACCAGAAGUAUUUCCAGUUGCCAGACCUCUACACGCACUCUACCAUGGACAAGCCCAGUUGGGAAAGGAGGAGGGUUGUAUUGGGCUAGCAACCCAAACCCGUAAAAACCCAGAGCUACAGAAACGCCAACAGAAGCUGCAAAGGAAGAGGAAUAAUCUUUGAAGAUGGGUUACACCUGGGGGCAAUGUGAAAGACUGGCUCAGAUUACAAAAUUCUGACAAGCUGCUUUCGGCACUCAAUGUAGUGGUGAUGGGCCUAAGAGGACCUCUACACUUACAGUCUGGAAAAAUAAUCUUUACUGCUUUCCUUUACCUUCGUAGGUCUUCAUUAACACCUUUCUUUGAAUAUAACUUUCAAUCCCCUCCAAGUCACUCUCUCAUGAUGUGUUGGGAUAUUUGUUAAUUAAAUUUUAAUUGCAAUUAGAUAUGAAUAUUGUGUAAAAUUAAUCAGAUCACUCCAUUGCAUGCUAGAAAGUACACCACUGUAGUGUAGUGAUUAGCAGGACACCAUUACAGCUCGGGACGUCUGAGUUUUGAGUUCAACUCUGAUGUCAUCUGCAAGGAGUGGGUUUCCUCCAGGUGCUCCAGUUUCCUCCCACAGUCCGAAGAGGUACAGUUUAAUUGUCCUGUGACUAGGCUAGGGUUAAAUCGAGGGUUGCUGGUGGAGUGGCUCAAAGGACCUGAAGAGCCUAUUCAGCCCUGUAUCUCAAUAAACAAACAAUAAAUAGCAAAGUCUGAAUACCCUUCCUUCACCGAUAUGGAUACAGCUCAUAAGGGUUUGCUGAGACCAUUGUCAACCAAAUUUCUAGUGCUUGGGAGAAUUGCUACACAUUUAAUUGAUUACAGCAGUGUACACUGGAUAAAUUCCUCUGUUGAUAACUAUUGCAAACUAAUACAUUUUUGCAGUACUGUAUUACUAUUAGUAAUGUUCCAAUUUGUUCUGUAUUUCAUGUAAAUACAUAAUUUGUUAAUCAGUUAGUCUUUUUUAUACCUUUUUAACUAGUUUGAUACUUUGGCUGAUUGAUGUGUCACAAGUCACUAGAAUCUACUGUAUUUAAAAAAAAACUCCCAACUCCUAAUUCAUCUUAUCAGUAACUGCUGUAAAUGCCAACCCUGGGCAUUCUCUCUUCUCCCCUCUCCCACUGGGCAAAAGAGACAAAAGUAUGAAAGUACAUAUUACCAGGUUCAAGGGUCACCUCUGCACCACUUUGAUAAGACUAUUGACUGGACCUCUUGUACAAUAAAAUGGCCUCUUGUCCUCAUGAUCUACUUCAUUAUGAUCUUGCACAUUAUCACUUAUCUGCAAUUUUUCCAAUUGUUCAAAAUUCAAGAUUUAAGUUUAUUUGAUGGCUGUACAAAUGGUGUUCAGCUCACUAGUCCACAGGGUUUACUCACUUCAGUGCUGAGCUGGCCCUGUAGCUGUGGCCUGUAAACAUCAGCUCUUACCUCAGCGCUGAACUAGCCCUGUGGCUGUGGACUCUGCCAUUAAUGUUCUGUGUGCUAUUUGUUUUUUUUAUUGCUUGUACAGUUUGUUCUUUUCUCCCCCCCACACACUGGGUGUUUGACGGUCUUUGUUGCGUGGUGUUUUUUUUAAAAUGGAUUCUAUUGUGUUUCUUUGUUUUGUGGCUGCCUGUAAGAAGACAAAUCACAAGGAUGUAUACAGUAUACUGUACAUACUUUGAUAAUAAAUGUACUUUGAACUUUG